rnacentral:rRNA from 1 species
AACGUAGGUCCCGAGCGUUAUCCGGAUUUACUGGGCGUAAAGCGUGUUCAGGCGGUCUAGCAAGUCGGGCAUGAAAUCUCUCGGCUCAACCGGGAGGGGUUGUCCGAUACUGCUGGGCUUGAGGGCAGCAGAGGGUGGUGGAAUUCCACGUGUAGCAGUGAAAUGCGUAGAGAUGUGGAGGAACACCGAUGGCGAAGGCAGCCCCCUGGGUUAACACUGACGCUCAGGCACGAAAGCGUGGGGAGCAGACAGG